UACAGAGGUCCCAAGCGUUGUUCGGAUUCACUGGGCGUAAAGGGUGCGUAGGUGGUGAGGUAAGUCGGAUGUGAAAUCUCCAAGCUCAACUUGGAAACUACAUUGAAAACUACCUUGCUAGAGGAUUUGAGGGGGGAUUGGAAUACUUGGUGUAGCAGUGAAAUGCGUAGAUAUCAAGUGGAACACCAGUGGCGAAGGCGGGUCUCUGGGCAGUAACUGACGCUGAGGAGCGAAAGCGUGGGGAGCGAACAGG
rnacentral:rRNA from 1 species